AGUCAGCUCCUAUAAAAACGUAUCACUGGCUUAUAUCCUGACAUUAGUUCCCGUGCUAAAACCAAAUAAACUGUGUACAUGUAGGUGAGCGUCUGAAUGAGCGAGUGGCGUACCACCGUCUGGGCUCACUGUACCACUGUCUGAAACAGUAUGAACUGGCUGAGCACUAUUACCUGAAGACCCUGACCCUCUGCCCAACACCUCUGCAGUUCGAUGAGGAGCCACUGUAUUAUGUGAGGCUGUGCCAAACACUGGGAGACAUUAUAUUCACUGAUCUGAAGGACCCUUUUGAUGCUGCUGGAUACUACCACCUAGCUCUCGCUGCAGCCAUGGAUCUGGGCAA